rnacentral:rRNA from 1 species
UACGUAGGGUGCAAGCGUUGUCCGGAAUUAUUGGGCGUAAAGAGCUCGUAGGCGGUUUGUCGCGUCUGCUGUGAAAACUCGGGGCUCAACCCCGAGCUUGCAGUGGGUACGGGCAGACUAGAGUUCGGCAGGGGAGACUGGAAUUCCUGGUGUAGCAGUGAAAUGCGCAGAUAUCAGGAGGAACACCGGUGGCGAAGGCGGGUCUCUGGGCCGAUACUGACGCUGAGGAGCGAAAGCGUGGGGAGCGAACAGG